rnacentral:rRNA from 1 species
UACGUAGGGUGCAAGCGUUGUCCGGAAUUAUUGGGCGUAAAGAGCUCGUAGGCGGUCUGUCGCGUCGGCUGUGAAAACCCGGGGCUCAACCCCGGGCCUGCAGUCGAUACGGGCAGACUAGAGUGCGGUAGGGGAGACUGGAAUUCCUGGUGUAGCGGUGAAAUGCGCAGAUAUCAGGAGGAACACCGGUGGCGAAGGCGGCAUCCUGGACCAACACUGACACUGAGGAGCGAAAGCCAGGGGAGCAAACGGG